rnacentral:rRNA from 1 species
GACAGCAGCAGCCGCGGGAAUACGUAGGGUGCGAGCGUUGUCCGGAAUUAUUGGGCGUAAAGAGCUUGUAGGCGGUCUGUCGCGUCUGCUGUGAAAACCCGAGGCUCAACCUCGGGCCUGCAGUGGGUACGGGCAGACUAGAGUGCGGUAGGGGAGAACGGAACUCCUGGUGUAGCGGUGGAAUGCGCAGAUAUCAGGAAGAACACCGAUGGCGAAGGCAGUUCUCUGGGCCGUAACUGACGCUGAGAAGCGAAAGCGUGGGGAGCGAACAGGAUUAGAGACCCCAGUAGUCCCUGUCUCUUAUAC